AAGCUAACAGGAGAUUCAUUCUCAGCGGGCAGUGGCCAAAAGUGAGAGAAGCCAGUUCUGUUUCCGUGCCUCGCUGUGCCUCGCUGAUACCGUGGCCCUCCGCCUCCCCAGCUGACACUUGGCAUAUACCUAAAGGGCAGUGUCAAGGAGGAAAAGUGAGCCAAAGCCCGGAAGUCUGUCCUGCCUGCUUCUGUAAUCUGGCGCUAUGCAUCCAGAUCCUCGGCCCUUACAGACACUGCUGUAUGUUGUUACACUUACGGUUCUAUGCCCUUCUGUGAAUUCAGGUUAAGAGCUGAAGAACGGUCGUGUUUGUUUGUUUGUUUUUUAGGUUUUUAAAUUUUAAUUCCAGUGUAGUUAACAUACAGUGUUGUAUGAAUUUCAGGAGUAUAAUACAGCCAUUCAGCAGUUCUAUACACGACUCAGUGCUCAGCAUCAUUAAGU
rnacentral:lncRNA from 1 species